AUUGAACGCUGGCGGCAGGCCUAACACAUGCAAGUCGAACGAGUGGCGGACUGGUGAGUAAUGUCUGGGAAACUGCCUGAUGGAGGGGGAUAACUACUGGAAACUGUAGCUAAUACCGCAUACCAUCAGAUGUGCCCAGGUGGGAUUAGCUUGUUGGGGGGGUAACGGCGCACCAAGGCGACGAGCCCUAGCUGGUCUGAGAGGAUGACCAGCCACACUGGAACGGAGACACGGUCCAGACGCCUACGGGAGGAAGUAGUGGGGAAGAUGGCACAAUGGGAGCAAGCGUGAUGCAGCCAUGCCGCGUGUAUGAAGAAGGCCUUCGGGUUGUAAAGUACUUUCAGCGGGGAGGCGUUACCCGCAGAAGAAGCACCGGCUAACUCCGUGCCAGCAGCCGCGGUAAUUC
rnacentral:rRNA from 1 species